rnacentral:lncRNA from 1 species
UCUUGAAAAAUCAUCUAUUAUAGAGAGGAAAUACUUAUUCCCCCCGGAGUAGUUGUGGAGGCUGGACCCCACAAAUCAGAGUGGACAUAUUCCAAUGGAGAGGUAGUUUUAUGUUUUCCAGAAUUAAAAUGGAGUCUGUGAUGUUUGCCAAAGGUGCAACUUUCACAGAAAGGUAUUUUUGAUAUUUGGUCCUUACCAAAUACCCCCCCCUUUUGUAGAAUUGUGAGGCCUUUUUCACCCACAUGUGCAAGCCUCUUAUGCCAUUUUAAGGUGGGAUCAGAUUCAGUAUUAGAGAUAGUUGCAUUAUGUUCAAGUAUUAUUCCAGCUCUAACUACAUAGAUUCCAUUUUUCUUAACACCCUUAAAGAUGACAAGAGACCCCUUGAUCACUUUCAUCAAUCCAUCUCCAAUCCUACCACACAGCCCUAGGUCAUCUAAUUCUCCCAUAGAUAUCAGAUUUCUUUUGAGUUCAGGGACAUAUCUGACUCUCUCUAGGGUAUACAUGUAUCCAUUUUCAAAUUUUAGGGUCACAUUUCCUAACCCUUCAACUCUGCAGGCUAUAUUAUUUCCCAUUACUACUUCACCACCAGCUAGCCUCUUAAAAUCUUGAAGCCAGGCCCUUUCAUGUGUAAUAUGAAAGGUGCAGCCUGAGUCCAAAAUCCACUCAUGUACAUAUCUGUUGUGGGCAUAAUUAGCCACUUCCAGGUCAGGUUGCUGAGCCACCACAUAUACAUCAACUGUAUUAGGCUCAGCAGGCUCAACUACAUUCCCCUCAUCAACAUUCUUCUCUUUAGGUUCAAUUUUCUUGUUAUAGCAGUCUUUUAUGUAAUGACCGAGCUUACCACAGCCAUAGCACUUUCUGUUAUUUCUAGAUUUUGAUUUAGAUCUUGAUUUACUCCUGAACUUCUUCCUANUUUGUAGACAUUUGAUUUUCAAUAAGGACUUUCCAGCUUUUAAACUUUUCAAAGGUUUCAGAUUUGUGCUUUAGUAGAAACACCCACACCUUUCUUGAAAAGCCAUCAAUUAUUGAGAGGAAAUACUUAUUUUCCCCUGGAGUAGUUGUGGAGGUUGGUCCCCACAAAUCAGAGUGGACAUAUUCCAAUGGAGAAGUAGUUUUAUGUUUUCCAGAAUUAAAAUGGAGUCUGUGAUGUUUGCCAAAAGUGCAGCUUUCACAGAAAGGUAUUUUUGAUAUUUGGUCCUUACCAAAUACCCCAUUUUUAUGUAGGAUUGUGAGGCAUUUUUCACCAACAUGUGCAAGCCUCUUAUGCCAUUUUAAGGUGGAAUCAGAUUCAGUAUUAGAGAUAGUUGUAUUAUUUUCAAGUAUUAUUUCAGCUCUAACCACAUAGAUUCCAUCUUUCUUGACAUCCUUAAAGAUGACAAGAGAUCCCUUGAUCACUUUCAUCAAUCCAUCCCUAAUCCUACCACACAGCCCUAGGUCAUCUAAUUCUCCCAUAGAGAUCAGAUUUCUUUUAAGUUCAGGAACAUACCUCACUCUCUCUAGGGUAUACAUGUAUCCAUUUUCAAAUUUUAAGGUCACAUUACCUAGUCCUUCAACUCUGCAGGCAAUAUUAUUCCCCAUCACCACUUCACCACCAGCUAACUUCUUAAAAUCUUGAAGCUAGGACCUUUCAUGUGUAAUAUGAAAGGUACAACCUGAGUUCAAAAUCCACUCUUGAACAUAUCUAUUGUGGGCUAAUUUGCCACCUCCAGAUCAGGUUGCUGAGCCACCACAUAUACAUCAACAGUAUUAGGCUCAGUAGGCUCAAC